rnacentral:misc_RNA from 1 species
GUUUUAUAAUCGACGCAAAGCGCCAUAAUGUAUCACAUACAUAAUCAAAGGGUGUAGUAAUACUUCUCGCCCGAGGGCUCAAAGUCAAAGAUGCACAGGUGUAUUGGAUGAAGAUGGACGUGCACAUGCCGAAGCCAGCACAGUCCAAGCCAAUUCGAUAAUGAUCCUUCCGCAGGUUCACCUACGGAAA